UACGGAGGGGGCUAGCGUUGUUCGGAAUUACUGGGCGUAAAGCGCACGUAGGCGGACCGAUCAGUCAGGGGUGAAAUCCCAGAGCUCAACUCUGGAACUGCCUUUGAUACUGUCGGUCUAGAGUAUGGAAGAGGUGAGUGGAAUUCCGAGUGUAGAGGUGAAAUUCGUAGAUAUUCGGAGGAACACCAGUGGCGAAGGCGGCUCACUGGCCCAUUACUGACGCUGAGGUGCGAAAGCGUGGGGAGCAAACAGG
rnacentral:rRNA from 1 species